rnacentral:lncRNA from 1 species
UACGUCCUAGGUGUCGCAAUCAAUACAAGUACAAGAAGUUCCAACCAAGAACAGUAUUCAAGCAAGAUUGCAUAAGGAAGGUAUCAAACAACAUAACACAUCCUAUGUUAUUACAAACAUUCCCAUUAGAUUCAUUUUUACAUCACAUUUGCAUUAUUACAUUACAUUUUCUACCAAAUGCAAUUAAUGAUCGCAAUAUUAUUACAA